rnacentral:rRNA from 1 species
GCAGGUUGAAGGUUGGGUAACACUAACUGGAGGACCGAACCGAUAAGCGUUGAAAAGCUUCCGGAUGAACUGAGGGUGGGGGUGAAAGGCUAAUCAAACUUGGAGAUAGCUCGUACUCCCCGAAAUGCAUUUAGGUGCAGCCUUGCGGGUUACUGAUGUGAGGUAGAGCGACUGAUAAGAUGCGAGGGCUUCACCGCCUAUCAAGUCUUGAUAAACUCCGAAUGCGCAGUAGUUCGAUCCCAGGAGUGAGGGCAUGGGUGCUAAGGUCCGUGCCCGAGAGGAGAAGAAUCCGGACCACCUGCUAAGGUCCCGAAAUGACAGCUAAGUUAAACUAACGAAGUCUGACUGCUAAGACAGCUAGGAUGUUGGCU